CUUGAAAAAGUACCUUUGGGACAACUAUGACCUGGAUGACUGAGAAUCUCCAUAGACAAUAUACUGGAGACUACCUUGCCAAUAUUGCUUGGAAAGAAAUAGGCGUGGAUCCUGAUAUAUUUGCAUGACUAGGAAGAAAUCUGGACAGAACCAAG